CCUGCCCACUGAUAAUUUUAAGGGCCGCGGUAUUAUGACCGUGCAAAGGUAGCAUAAUAAUUAGUCUUUUAAUUGGAGGCUUGUAUGAAUGGUCGGACAAAAGGAGCACUGUCUCUAUUAUAUUACUUGAAAUUAACUUUUAAGUGAAAAGGCUUAAAUAUCUCAGAGGGACGAUAAGACCCUAUAAAGCUUUAUAAAUAUUAUAUUUUAAUUGAAUUUUAUAAUAAUAAUAAAAAAUUAUAUUAUUUAUUAGGUUGGGGCGACAUAAGUAUAAUUAAUUUAACUGCUUUAUGAAAAUACAUAUAUAAAUGAAUUUACCUUUAAAUGAUCCUUUUAUAAAGAUUUUAAGAUUAAGUUACUUUAGGGAUAACAGCGUUAUUUUCUUUGAGAGUCCAUAUCGAAAAGAAAGCUUGCGACCUCGAUGUUGAAUUAAAUUUUCUAUACGGCGCAGCAGUUGUAUAAGAGGGUCUGUUCGACCUUUAAAAUUUUACGUGAUCUGAGUU
rnacentral:rRNA from 1 species